GGUCCCUACGGGACGCAGCAGUGGGGAAUAUUGCACAAUGGGGGAAACCCUGAUGCAGCAACGCCGCGUGAGUGAAGAAGUAUUUCGGUAUGUAAAGCUCUAUCAGUAGGGAAGAAGAAAGACGGUACCUGACUAAGAAGCCCCGGCUAACUACGUGCCAGCAGCCGCGGUAAUACGUGGGGGGCAAGCGUUAUCCGGAUUUACUGGGUGUAAAGGGAGCGUAGACGGCAUAGCAAGUCUGAGGUGAAAGCCCGUGGCUCAACCGCGGAACUGCUCUGGAAACUGUUAAGCUGGAGUACUGGAGA
rnacentral:rRNA from 1 species